rnacentral:rRNA from 1 species
AUACCAGGGCUCAACCUUGGACAGGCAUUGGAAACCGCCAGACUCGAGUAUGGCAGAGGUUGAAGGAAUUCCUUGUGGAGCGGUGAAAUGCGUAGAUAUAAGGAAGAACACCAGCGGCGAAAGCGUUCGACUGGGCCUAUACUGACACUGAGAGACGAAAGCUAGAGGAGCGAAUAGGAUUAGAUACCCUAGUAGUUCUAGCUGUAAACGAUGGAAACUAGGCGCUGGUAAAAAUCAGUGCCGUAGCUAACGCAUUAAGUUUCCCGCCUGGGGAGUAUGCCCGCAAGGGUGAAACUCAAAGGAAUUGACGGGGGCCCGCACAAGCAGUGGAUUGUGUGGUUUAAUUUGAUGCAACGCGAAGAACCUUACCAGGGUUCGACAUGUCUAGAAUUCUUGCGAAAGUGAGAAGUAUUCAAUUGCGAGGUUGGCUUGAACUAUUGCUAUCAGCUUGUCUAAUUGUAGUAGUCCAUAACCAUUAGCUUUUGAGGGCUAGAACAACGGUGGUGCAUGGCUGUCGUCAGCUCGUACAUUGAUGCGUACGGUUAAGUCCUGCAACGAGCGCAACCCUCGUUCUUAGUUAAAUUAUCUCUAAGAAGACUGCCAGCGCAAGCUGGAGGAAGGUGAGGAUGACGCCAAGUCAGCAUGCCCCUUAUGCCCUGGGCUACACACGCAAUACAAUGGUUAAGACAAUACGAAGCAACCCUGAUCAAAGAAAGGUGAGCGAAUCGGACAAACUUAACCUCAGUUCAGAUUGGAGGCUGCAACUCGCCUCCAUGAAGUCGGAAUUGCUAGUAAUCGCCGGUCAGCUAUACGGCGGUGAAUACGUUCCCGGGCCUUGUACACACCGCCCGUCACAUCGAGGAAACAGAUACUGCUCCAAGCCGUUAGCUUAACCUUCGGGAGGGCGGCGUCUACAGCAUUAUUCGGGACCAUGAUGAAGUCGUAACAAGGUAUCCCUACGGGAACGUGGGGAUG